GUUGAAAUGACUGAUAAAAAGUAAUAAACUGUAAAUUUAUACAUGAAAAUAAAAUUUCUUUCAACA
rnacentral:tRNA from 1 species